GAUCCUGGCUCAGGAUGAACGCUAGCUACAGGCUUAACACAUGCAAGUCGAGGGGCAGCAUUUUAAUUUGCUUGCAAACUAAAGAUGGCGACCGGCGCACGGGUGAGUAACACGUAUCCAACCUGCCGAUAACUCGGGGAUAGCCUUUCGAAAGAAAGAUUAAUAUCCGAUAGUAUAUUUUCUCCGCAUGGCGAGAAUAUUAAAGAAUUUCGGUUAUCGAUGGGGAUGCGUUCCAUUAGUUUGUUGGCGGGG
rnacentral:rRNA from 1 species